UUUAAACUCUCAAACACAGCUUUCUGCUUGCUGGCCAGUUCAAUAUCUGCCAAUUGUUGCUCAACAUUAAUAAGCCAAGUAUCAACUUGCUUCAAUAAUUCUUCUUGCGUUUUCUUCUUCUUCAAUGCUAGCAAUGCCCUAUCCUUUCUCUUUUGAAGAAUCAAAUCUUUAGCAGCUUGCUUUUCUGCUUCAAUAACUUCUUCAAGCUUUUGUUGAUACUGUGCAAGCUUCCGCCUUUGGGUCUUGAGAGAAAGAAUUGCACGAUCCACCUCUGUGAUCUUUGGCUUCUUCACAAAUACAUUCCCCAUCUCUUCCUUGGGUGUUCCCUUUCUCCCUCUAUUCGCGGCUCGGAAUCUAGAUCAUUCGUGUUCGUU
rnacentral:misc_RNA from 1 species